rnacentral:rRNA from 1 species
GACGAACGCUGGCGGCGUGCUUAACACAUGCAAGUCGAACGGAAAGGCCCUGCUUGCAGGGUGCUCGAGUGGCGAACGGGUGAGUAACACGUGGGUGAUCUGCCCCUUACUUUGGGAUAAGCCUGGUAAACUGGGUCUAAUACUGGAUAGGACCAUGCUGUAGGUGGUGUGGUGGAAAGAUUAGUUUCGGUAAGGGAUGAGCUCGCGGCCUAUCAGCUUGUUGGUGGGGUAAUGGCCUACCAAGGCGUCGACGGGUAGCCGGCCUGAGAGGGUGGACGGCGACAUUGGGACUGAGAGACGGCGCAGACUCCUACGGGAGGCAGCAGUGGGGAAUAUUGCACAAUGGGCGCAAGCCUGAUGCAGCGACGCCGCGUGGGGGAUGACGGCCUUCGGGUUGUAAACUCCUUUCAGCCAUGACGAAGCCCUUGUGGUGACGGUAGUGGUAGAAGAAGCACCGGCUAACUACGUG